UGCGCAACUAAAGCCUUGACCAAUGAGGAGUGUCUGACGCGAUACGCUCCAUUGCGGCAACUUGAUUCGUUAACGCCCACUCGAGUUCCCAGCGUUUUGCUGCAGUUUCACCAUAUCUGUUGGUCGCAUCGGACUCAAGGGCUGUAGUUAUUAUAUAAUCAGUGGCUAUUAUGGCUAAUAAAGGUGCUCAACGUGUCAAAAGUUAUUUUCCAGCGUGGCAUCUUUGGCUCAACAUAUUCACAAACAAGCUACUUUCCUCUUUUUUGGAGAUCUAUUCAAAGUUGGCGUUCGUCUUGGGUAUUGCACCAAUUUUAAGACGCGACUGUGAGGCUUUGUUGGAUAUUCCUCUCUUUUAUUAUGAAAUUAAAAUCUUGAAAUUACUGUUUUGAAUGUCAUUUUCUUCCAAGUGUCCUUCACAAAUUUUAUUCGUCACGUAAAUACAGGUGUUUAAUAUCAGAAUCAGCCUGCAGACCAAUCACAUUUUUUUCAAUUUUGUCUGCCCGUUCGCUUUGAUGGUGCCAAAAACAGGGUGCGAGAUCCACUGACACUAUCGCAUUGUGGAACGCAACAUCGAUUACUUAU